GCGGCUUGCCUGUAGUCGGAUACCUCCCAUUUCUCGGAACUACUGACUUGCACAAGAAAUUCACGGAAUUAUCCGGAGUUUAUGGUCCGAUCUUCAAGCUCUGGCUCGGAAAUAAAUUAUGUGUAGUGGUGAGCUCACCUUCCCUAGUUAAACAAGUGGUUCGUGAUCAAGAUACAACAUUCGCAUACCGUGACCCGCCGAUCGCUGGACUAGUGGCCACCUUUGGUGGCAAUGAUAUUGCAUGGUCCAAUUACGGUCCCGAAUGGAGAAAGUUGCGCAAAUUUUUUGUGGGCAAGAUGAUGAGUAACGCAAGCCUUGAUGCUUGUUAUGCUCUAAGAAAACAAGAGGUUAAAAAUACUAUCAGGGAUUUGUAUAACAACAACAACAAAAUUUGCAAGCCCAUUGACAUUGGUGAAUUGUCGAUUUCAACACUGGUAUGUGCUAUGCAGAACAUGCUGUGGGGUGAAGCGCUUGAAUUAAAAGAGAAAGGGACCACUAUUCUUGGGGUUGAGCUAAAAUUUAAGCUUGCAGAACUCAUGGUGCUACUGGGAACACCGAAUAUUUCGGAUAUCUUUCCAAUGCUUUCAUGGCUCGACAUACAAGGUAUAGAGAGGAGAGCAAAGAAGAUUUCACUCUGGUUUGAAAAUAUUAUAAAUUCUACUGUUGAAAAGUAUAGAAGCAAGGACUUUAAUGUUGAAGGUAAAGAAAGAGCAGGGGAAAAUUUUGAAGGAUCAAGGAACAAGAACUUCUUGCAGUUACUAUUGGAGCUUCAAGAAAAUGAAGACGGUUCUUCCUCAAUUAGCAUGAACCAAUUUAAGGGCGUGCUCGCGGUAUGUUAAGCAACUAGCCACGAACAGUUGUAUAUUUGCAUGAGUGACGCUUUUCAACUUUUUUUAAUUUUUUAAAUUAAAGUUUUAUUGUAAUCUUUUGAACAGGAUAUAAUUACGGGUGGAACCGACACCACAACUACGAUGGUGGAAUGGACAAUGGCAGAGUUGAUGCAGCAUCCACAAGUCAUGAAGAAAGUUCAGGAAGAAUUAGCUCAAGUUGUGGGCAUGGACAGUUGUGUUGAAGAAUUUCAUUUGCCUAAAUUGAAAUAUUUAGAUGCUGUGGUGAAAGAAUCGUUUCGUCUGCAUCCUGCAUUGCCUUUAUUAGUACCACGCAGAGCAAGUGAGAGUGGCAGCAUUGGUGGCUAUACCAUUCCCAAAGAUACAACUCUUAUGUUGAAUGUUUGGGCUAUCCACAGGGACCCUCAACUUUGGGAUAAUCCCUUAGAAUUUCGACCCGAGAGGUUUCUGAAUGUUGGUGUCGAGAGUAAGUUCGAUUACUCAGGUAACAAUUUUCAGUACUUGCCAUUUGGUUCUGGUAGAAGGAUGUGUGCUGGGAUUCCUCUAGCUGAGAGGAUGCUGAUGUUUGUUCUGGCUUCGUUAUUGCACUCAUUUGAGUGGGAAUUGCCAGCUGGCACAAAGCUAAACUUAUCUGAAAAAUUUGGGAUUGUCAUUAAGAAAAAAGAGCCUUUGGUUGCUAUUCCAACACCAAGACUAUCCAAUUCAGAGCUCUACCAUUAAGACAAAAUGAUUGUGAUGAUUUUGUGAGUAUCGGAAGAUUUGUAUGUUAUUUCAAGUUCAAUCGUAAUAAAAUAUUUCAAUAAAAGUCCUCCGUUGCUAAUUUUUUUUUCAACGGCAUAAUCUGUCAUCAUGCUUGUGUUUGGAGCUACUUUGAAAUAAUUUUUGAAUUACAAUUUAUAAAUAUUUACAUUUUAAAAUUUUAUGAGAGUCUAAAUCUAUACACGUUCAAUAAAAAAUUUCCUAAAAGUUUUAGGAUUCAAAAUUCUAUUAAAGUAUAGAUGAAACUUUUAUACCUCCUAAUUUUUUGGUCUAUUCUACGAGUUUAAAGAGGAGAUAUUUCUAGAGCUAGUAAAAAGAGUUACCUGAUUGUUUUCGCGUUAUGUCAUUUUUUUAUUGUGUUAAAUUUAAUUUGACUCAAAUAUGACCCAUUUAAUAAUCGUGUCAAAAUAUUAAAACUUAAACUUGACACGGAAAAUAAUUGGGUGACCGGACAAACCCAUUUAAUAAUUAGGUAACUAUGUCACUUAAUACGACAUAACCCAAUAACUCGUUUAAUACAUAUUUAACAUAAUUUACAUUGUACAUUGUACAUUGUACACCAUUUUGUCAUAAAUUACACUAUUUUAUAUUUCUAAAUAAUAUUAUAUAUUGAUAUUGUAUAAAAAAAAAUCAAUAAUCUCAAAAUUUGUACACCUCCUAACUUUUAAAAAUAAAUAAAAAACUAAUUAAUUAAUGUUUAUUUUAUUCAUUAAUAUAUCAUAAUCCUACAUGUGUUUUAUUUGUUAUUUUUUUUAUUUAAAAAGAUAGGUAGGUGGAUGAAACUCAAAUAAAUUUUUAGCCUAUCUUGAUCUUUCAAGUUUCUUAUUUAGGUGGCCAGCUAAAGAAAAUUACUUAAAAACUACUCCAUCAAUUUAACAAAUUUUAUUUAUUUAUUUAAUGGAGGUGUAGAAAAUAAAAGUAUCUUCAAGCACAUUGCAAUAGUGAAAGCAAUGUACCGGUGUUGCAACAUAACUGAACCUUGAUAACCUAUCACAUAUUUUAAGUUUUAACAUUGGUAGUUCACGGAUCAGUUUCUACUUCCACGAACAAUUAUUGAAGGAAAUGAGUUUUUUUUUUUUAAUGAAUAUUUAUAGACCCCGAUUAAAUAUUCGAAUAUAUAAUAAAAGAGAAACUGACAUAGAAAUGAGAAAGAUAUUUGGAGGAGGCAAAAAAAAAAAAAAAUGCAACAGACAAUUAGAUCGGCAACACAAGUAACUAAUUAAUUCAUCUAUACAUCAUAAUCCUAUUUGUAUCUUCUUCCUUCUUCUAAUUUACAUAUAAAUUUGGUUAGAUAAAACAUAUUUUAAUACUCGGUCACAAUCGGUGGAUAUAGAAAAUUAAUUUAGAGGGGGUAAUACCAUAACGAAAAAUAAUGAUUCAUAAUUAAAAUCAACCCCAACAUCAAAACUUAUUUACAAGAUCACCCCCAGUCAAAGGUAAUUUUUCCUAAAAACUAAUACGAAAUUAAAUAAAUUUAACUUUUAGUGGGUUCAAUUGCCCACGCAUUCUGAACGUAGAUCCACCCCUGGCCCCGACUGAAGCAUUUUUUACAAUAUGUACUCUGUUUAUCAGCGGGAACAGCCUUCCACCUUAAAUUAAAAUUUUCACUUAAAAAUGAUUAAGGUUAAUGAGGUUAGUAACAAAAAUGAGUUUAAUUAGAGAAUAUUAUAAGAGAAAUUCUAUUUUUUGACUUUUAAUAAAUUAAGAUAUAUUAAAAUAUUAUUAGUUGGUGGUGGUUUCACGUCAAAUUAAGACGUGACACCUUACUUAUGAGGUGGAGACAAUCGGCUUAAACUAUUUUAAUGCAUUUGAAAUUUGCACUAAUGGCUAUCAUUCUUUGUCCAAAUUAAUACGAUAAUUAAUAACAUACAAAAGUCAAGAAAAUGAAAAUUUAUCCCAAUUAAAACACUUUCUGGCUGCAUUUGGCUGUUUCCAUUUGAAGUUAAAAACGACAACGUUUCUUUCGUUUUGUGGGCGAUUCGAUUGAGCAGGCGCCACUAGCUAGCUGGCUUCCAGUGCUAGUGUGUGACGAUAGAAGGCUAGUGAUUUCACUUUCACAUUUUUUUUUAUUAUUUUUUUUGGGGAAUCAAGAUAAAAGUCAAGAAAAUGAAAAUUGGGCUGUUUCCAUUUGAAGUUAAAAACAGCGUUUCUUUCGGGGCGUCAAUUUGAUAUUUGAAUGGACAGGCAAGUAAGAAAUACAUUUCCUUCAUAGAAAAUGACAACGAGGACAUCAAGCCACAUCAUUAUAGUUUGUAGCCCAUCUACAUUUAAACGAUUAAUAAACAAGCUUAGGUGUGCCACUGCUAUUAUUAAUUAUCCCCUGAUCAUUAUAGUUUCUGAAACAGUAAAACAAAACGAAAUUGAAUACAUCAACGAGACCGCAAUUAUCACUUGUUUAGUUGCGGUAUUUAACUUAAUUUUAAUCUAAUAUAUUUGUUAGUUAAACUUUUAAUAAUCAAAUAAUUUUGAUUUAAAAAUAAAAUUAUAGAAAUUAUUAAUUAUUAAAAAUUCACAAUUAAGGGAACGUUCAUCAAACACACAUAGCUAUUGUUUUCUCUAUAUAUUGCAGUGUGUACGAUAUUGAGGGUUGAAGCCCCAAGCAUGCUCUAAAAUCCAGAUAAUAAUUAGAUCCAUGCAAAAUAUUCAUCGUUGUAUCAGCUGAUCAGUUGGUGGUGAUGAAGGGUGUUAUUGGCGGAGCUCAAAGUUAUUAUGUGCAUGUUGGGUGGAUAUCUCUAUUGAAAAUAUCUCUGAUAUUUCACUCGACAAACUUGUUAAUAUAAAAAAAUCUAUGGUUUUGCCGUCUGCAUACUGUAGAAAAUUUUGUCUCUACGUUAAUCUAAAUGUUUGAGGUGAUUAGAAAUUGCCUACUAUAUAUAAAGGGAAAUAAUUUCUAGGUUGAUUGAUACAUCUCUAUUCAAAAUAUCUCUGACAUUUCACUCGACAAACUUAUUAAUAUAAAAAAUCUGUGGUUUUGCCGACUGAAUAAUGUAGAAAAAUUUGUCUAUGCAUUAAUCUAGAUGUUUGAGGUGAUUUAUACAUCUGUGGUAAAGAUUUAUAGGUUGACUUAUACGUCUGUGGUAUAGAUUUUAUGUAUGUCAUUACAAAAUGCUGGCCGUUAGAACCCUUUCUACAUCUAUUUAUAAGAUUAACGGGUGCCAGCUAUGCCAUUACAAAUUAUCCCCUCAUCAGAUAUUUCGUUAAAAUUCAUUCUGAAACACUAAAACUAAAUAAUCGAACAUGGCUUUGCGGGUCGAUGAUGCCAGCAGCAAUGAGACUGCAAUUAUCACUUGUUUAGUUUCUGUGCUUGCCGUGGUUUACUUCGCAUGGAAUGUGAAAAAAUCAAGGAAAGCAAAUGCUACACUGCCACCAGGACCUCGCGGCUUGCCUGUAUUCGGAUACCUCCCAUUUCUUGGAACUACUGACUUGCACAAGAAAUUCACGGAAUUAUCCGGAGUUUAUGGUCCGAUCUUCAAGCUUUGGCUUGGAAAUAAAUUAUGUGUAGUGGUGAGCUCACCUUCCCUAAUUAGACAAGUGGUUCGUGAUCAAGAUACAACAUUCGCGAACCGUGACCCACCGAAGGCUGCACUAGUGGUCUCCUAUGGUGGCAAUGAUAUUGCAUGGUCCAAUUACGGUCCCGAAUGGAGAAAGUUGCG
rnacentral:lncRNA from 1 species